GAAAAAACUAAGAUUGAGGGGACAUAAUAGGAACAGAACACACCCUUGACAAAAAAUUGCAUCCAGAAAGAGGAUAUAGUGAAAGAGAUUUUACAACAAGGUAACAAGUUUUUUGUAGGUGGAUCUUUCCUUUUGGACAACAAGGGAUUCAAUUGCAGCUAUCAAGAGCAUACAAGCCAUAACUUGAAUCUUGUCACCUAUCCAAAGGUCCACACUCUAGAUCCCGUAUUCACUUACUAUUGAGGUGGCAAAUGAGGAUAGCUUGACUCGUUUUGGCAAAUGGGCUAAGUCAAGCUCAUCCAUGGCUGAG